AACCAACCUGGUCUCAUGGGAAAUACGUACCUCUGCACACUUUUUUGCAGCGCCACAAAUAUGUACCACCCGGUACGUAUUGCUACAGUUUUGAGACACAAACGUCCACUGGGGUCGCUAAAGAGAAGGACUGCAUGACAUUGUGAUCGACAGUAAGAGCAGAGGUUCCAGUCAUAUCAAAGAGGAAGAAGAGUAAAGUUUUUUUGUUUUUAGCCUAUCAAGGAACAGGAGAUUUGAAGAUCAUCUGUAAUCUCACUAUCUCUCUGCCUCCUGCAGUACAACGCAGACAGGUGAGUUGAUUAAUGCUAGGCGGUUGCUCCGCUUCAGACCUUAAACACUUGCAUCACCAACGCAUCACCGGCACCCAAUUAACUAGCAUUGAAAACAUUUAUUUAAGCAUUGCCUGUGUAGGGAAAGAAAACCUCAUCAAGGUUGUUUCCCACCUUAACCAUGGACGUGAAAUCCUCUGCAAACCACUACCCAUUUAUUUUC